UACAGAGGGUGCGAGCGUUAAUCGGAAUUACUGGGCGUAAAGCGUGCGUAGACGGCUAUCUAAGUCGGGUGUGAAAGCCCCGGGCUCAACCUGGGAAUUGCAUUCGAGACUGAAUAGCUAGGGUACGGUAGAGGGAAGCGGAAUUUCCGGUGUAGCGGUGAAAUGCGUAGAUAUCGGAAGGAACAUCAGUGGCGAAAGCGGCUUCCUGGACCAGUACCGACGUCAGGCACGAAAGCCGUGGGGAGCAAACAGG
rnacentral:rRNA from 1 species